rnacentral:rRNA from 1 species
UACAGAGGUCCCAAGCGUUGUUCGGAUUCAUUGGGCGUAAAGGGUGUGUAGGUGGCGCCGUAAGUCGGGUGUGAAAUCUCGGGGCUUAACUCCGAAACUGCAUUCGAUACUGCGGUGCUUGAGUACUGGAGAGGAGACUGGAAUUCAUGGUGUAGCAGUGAAAUGCGUAGAGAUCAUGAGGAAGACCAGUGGCGAAGGCGGGUCUCUGGACAGUUCCUGACACUGAGACACGAAGGCCAGGGGAGCAAACGGG